AAAGGACUUGAGUUUUGGGGAAGCAAUAAGAAUUCUUGAAAGCAUUCACUCAAAUUUCUCUCCCUCUUGCGUUCUUACUCUCUGUGGAUAGUGGAUAACUUUCGGGAUACAUCCGUACCUAUGGUUUCGUGAGAUUUUCAUCUCCGUGUAGCCAUAGGGAAAUGUAUUCCCUUGAACUGAACUCAAUUCAAAUGAGCCUAUAAUGGGUGAGGAUCGAGGAAUCUGCUGGUUCGGGUACCUCAAACUUUAGAAACAAACCACAUAUAGAAAAACCGUAUCGAUUCACGGUCAGUUUCUAAGUUAGAAAGUUUUAUUAUGGAGAACGGAUUCUUGAUAGAAUGGAGGGCAACGCUAACGUCCAUAAAUGGUCAAAGGAAACGCUGAAGGAUACACAUUAGAAUUAUGGGGUUACACUCGCAUCAGCAUGGCGCAAAAUAAUCUCCAGGAGUUAAAGGAAAUAUGGGAUCAAUGGAGUAAUAAAGCCAAAUAGUUGUUCUACAAUAACUAAGGGGACUUGCAGUAUUUGCUUGAUAGGAGGAUAGAUGAGCAAUUCAAAGUGAGUUUGGGAGUAUUAAUGGACACUUCUACCAUUAUAGCAUUUCUCUUUCAUAUGAAGAUGGUUGCCAUGUGGAUGGUAAGGGUAUUGGAAGGAAAGUGAUUGAUAGAGUGCAUGAGGCCUACAAAAAUGAGUUGGAUGGAAAGAAUUUUGCCUAUAAUGGUAAAAAGCUCGUUUACUAUAGGACCGCUACCAAACAACAAGAAUGAGUUUACUAUGUUGCACUUAUCAGAGACAAUGGAAAUGCAAGCCCUGAUGGUCUGUCAAAAUGGGCACAAAACAAUGAGAUUAAAGAAGACCAUAUCAUUUAAAGACCUUUAAAGUAGAGAUUAGCUAUGCUACAAGGAUACCCAUACAAGCAAUGCUCUGCGAGAGCAGAAAUCUGAAAACUCUCAAGAAGCAUUGAGGAUAUAGGAUAUCAUUUUAGGGCAGCAUACUGCGGAACAGUGAUGCCUGCUUGUUCACCAUUUUCUCUCUCAAGAUAAUCAGAAUAAUUUCACAAGUAUCAGAGGAGGUGUCCCUAGCUGCACGGAUUACCCCACAAGUGAGGUCGUAGCUCAAACUUAGGAGGUAGCUGAUUAUUUACAGACAUUGGCGGUACAGGCUGACAUAUUGAGCACCAAUAUGAGAUACAAUCAGAUCGUGGCUAAGAGUUUGUUUUAAAACUUUGGGCAUUAGGGCAAAAGCGUAUUUGUAAUCCACUUAUAUGUAAAGAUAUUCUUUUUCUAAAUAAAGUUUUAUUAAUGAGAUUGAAUCGA